rnacentral:rRNA from 1 species
AUUGAACGCUGGCGGCGUGCCUAACACAUGCAAGUCGAGCGGUAACGCGGGAGCAAUCCUGGCGACGAGCGGCGAACGGGUGAGUAAUGCUUCGGAAUCUGCCCAAUGGUGGGGAAUAACCAGCCGAAAGGUUGGCUAAUACCGCAUAAGUCCUAAGGGAGAAAGCGGGGGAUCGUAAGACCUCGCGCCGAUGGAUGAGCCGAAGUCGGAUUAGCUAGUUGGUAGGGUAACGGCCUACCAAGGCGACGAUCCGUAGCUGGUCUGAGAGGACGACCAGCCACACUGGGACUGAGACACGGCCCAGACUCCUACGGGAGGCAGCAGUGGGGAAUAUUGGACAAUGGGGGAAACCCUGAUCCAGCGACGCCGCGUGUGUGAAGAAGGCCUGCGGGUUGUAAAGCACUUUUUAGUGGGGA